rnacentral:rRNA from 1 species
AGCGAACGCUGGCGGCAGGCUUAACACAUGCAAGUCGAACGGGCACUUCGGUGCUAGUGGCAGACGGGUGAGUAACACGUGGGAACGUACCUUUCGGUUCGGAAUAAUCCAGGGUAACUUGGACUAAUACCGGAUACGCUCUUCGGGGGAAAGAUUCAUCGCCGAUAGAUCGGCCCGCGUCUGAUUAGCUAGUUGGUGAGGUAAUGGCUCACCAAGGCGACGAUCAGUAGCUGGUCUGAGAGGAUGAUCAGCCACAUUGGGACUGAGACACGGCCCAAACUCCUACGGAAGGCAGCAGUGGAGAAUAUUGGACAAUGGGCGCAAGCCUGAUCCAGCCAUGCCGCGUGAGUGAUGAAGGCCUUAGGGUUGUAAAGCUCUUUUGUCCGGGAAGAUAAUGACUGUACCGGAAGAAUAAGCCCCGGCUAACUUCGUG